GAUCAAGUUAAGAUGCGGUCAAUAGGGUGGGCCCUAAUCCAAUAUGACUGUGUCCUUAUGGAAAGGGAAAAUGUGGCUACGGGGACAGACAUGCGCAUAGGAGGAAGGCCCUGUGAAGAUGAAGGCAGGGACCAGGGGAUGCUUCCUCACACAAAGGAAUGCCCAAGAGUGCCAGCAGCCACCAGAAACUAGGAGAGGCACCUGGAAAGAUUCUCCCACCCUGCCCUCGGGAGGAACCCACCUUCGGUCCUUGAUCUUGGACCUCUCCUCCCUAGACCUGUGGGGGAAUAAAUUCCUCUUGUUUAGGACUCGCGCUCUGUGAUGCUCUGUUGUGGCAGAGUCUAGGGAAACCAACACAGAAGUGGAAGCUGACCUUCCACCUCUCUAUGCACACGGGCGACCUGAGCCGACUGCUGGGCCCUCAGGGGCAAGUGCUGUCCUGUCCACCUCCAGUGAGUACUGCCCAGGGCCACAUCCCAAGAUGGGCCACAGAAGAGUCACUAGCUGUCUCUCCACCUGCCAGUCAUAAAGGUACUGAUGUCACCUUGAGCCAAAGGAAAACAAC
rnacentral:lncRNA from 1 species